ACAGUAACCGAACUGUGUGUGCAGUGUGUGUGUCGGUUCGGGACGAGAGGGUUAGAUGGCGAGUUUUUGAAACGAUGGUCGGGCUUUGGGGCUUUGAAAGGGAUUUCUCGUCUUGGCUGCCGUUUGAUUGUUGGCUCUCGCGCUAUACCGUGUGUGAAGCAUAUAAAAGCCUCUCGAACACUCGUACGCCGGGCGUGUCGUUAACUCGACCACCGCGUAUGCGAGUUAUUAGUAGGGCUGUAGCGCGAGUGGCUGUAUCAGUCAGCUGCAUCGGGGGAGAGAACCUUCACUGGCUCCGUUACGGUAAGGGCUUUUUCGCAAAGGAGCGCUUGUCGAGGACUCGCACCCAGUACACUACGAUCGACUCGUUGACUUUAACAAAAAAUCAUAUCUGACCUCAGUUUAGGUGAGACUACCCGCUGAACUUAAGCAUAUCAGUAAGCGGAGGAAAAGAAACUAACAAGGAUUCCCUUAGUAGCGGCGAGCGAACAGGGAAGAGCUCAGCACCGAACCUCGCGCCCGGCAAAGCGGACGCAGAGGAAUGUGGUGUUUGGGAGAACCGUGCGUGUCUGUCCGGUAUAUUCAUCCAAGUCUCCAUGAACGGGGCGCAACCCACAGAGGGUGUCAGGCCCGGUUAGACCAGAUGAGCCGAGACCGUAUCGGGUUCCUUCC
rnacentral:rRNA from 1 species